UACGGGGGGGGCAAGCGUUGUCCGGAAUUAUUGGGCGUAAAGAGCUCGUAGGCGGUGUGUCGCGUCGGCCGUGAAAACCUGCAGCUUAACUGUGGGCGUGCGGGCGAUACGGGCAGACGUAGAGUACUGCAGGGGAGACUGGGAAUUCCUGGUGUAGCGGUGGAAUGCGCAGAUAUCAGGAGGAACACCGGUGGCGAAGGCGGGUCUCUGGGCAGUAACUGACGCUGGAGGAGCGAAAGCGUGGGGAGCGAACAGG
rnacentral:rRNA from 1 species